rnacentral:rRNA from 1 species
UACAGAGGGUGCAAGCGUUGUUCGGAAUCACUGGGCGUAAAGGGUGCGUAGGCGGGUCUUUAAGUCAGGGGUGAAAUCCUGGAGCUCAACUCCAGAACUGCCUUUGAUACUGAAGAUCUUGAGUCCGGGAGAGGUGAGUGGAACUGCGAGUGUAGAGGUGAAAUUCGUAGAUAUUCGCAAGAACACCAGUGGCGAAGGCGGCUCACUGGCCCGGUACUGACGCUGAGGCACGAAAGCGUGGGGAGCAAACAGG